rnacentral:rRNA from 1 species
GAAGGUAGCGUAAUCAUUUGUCUUUUAAAUAGAGACCUGUAUGAAUGGCAUAACGAGGGUUUAACUGUCUCCCUCCCCCAGUCAAUGAAAUUGAUCUGCCCGUGCAGAAGCGGACAUAAACACAUAAGACGAGAAGACCCUAUGGAGCUUUAGACAAAAGAUCAAACAUGUAAAGAAACCAAACCAACCAAAAGGAACACAAAGGCCACAAAACCCAACGUAAAAUGAUCAAAAUGUCUUCGGUUGGGGCGACCAUGGGGGAAAGAAAAGCCCCCACGAGGAACUAAGGGCAAUCCAUUAAGCUAAGAGAUACACCUCUAAGCAACAGAAAAUCUGACCAAAAAUGACCCAGGACACUAAUCCUGAUCAACGAACCAAGUUACCCUAGGGAUAACAGCGCAAUCCUUUCCCAGAGUCCAUAUCGACGAAAGGGUUUACGACCUCGAUGUUGGAUCAGGACAUCCUAAUGGUGCAGCCGCUAUUAAGGGUUCGUUUGUUCAACGAUUAA